rnacentral:rRNA from 1 species
CUAUGCGCACAGCUCAGUAGCACGUGGCUAACCUGCCCUUGGGACGGAAGAACCCCUGGGAAACUGGGGCUAAUUUCCGAUAGGUGAAGAUACCUGGAAUGGCUUUUCGCCUAAAGGGUGCUUGGAGCAUGCUUCUAGGCGUUGCCCAAGGAUGGGGCCGCGGCCGAUCAGGUUGUUGGUGAGGUAACGGCUCACCAAGCCUUUAACCGGUGCGGGCCGUGGGAGCGGAAGCCCGUAGAUGGGCACUGAGACAAGGGCCCAGGCCCUACGGGGCGCAGCAGUCGCGAAAACUUCGCAAUAAGCGAAAGCUUGACGGGGCUAUCCCGAGUGCCAUCCGCUGAGGAUGGCUUUUCCCUAGUAUAGAUAGCUGGGGGAAUAAGGAGAGGGCAAGUCUGGUGUCAGCCGCCGCGGUAAUACCAGCUCUCCGAGUGGUGGGGACGUUUAUUGGGCCUAAAGCAUCCGUAGCCGGCUGGGUAAGUCCCCUGUUAAACCCAGCGACUUAAUCGUUGGUCUGCGGGGGAUACUACUCGGCUAGGGGGCGAGAGAGGCCGUCGGUAUUCCCGGGGUAGGGGUGAAAUCCUAUAAUCCCGGGAGGACCACCAGUGGCGAAGGCUGUCGGCUAGAACGCGCCCGACGGUGAGGGAUGAAAGCUGGGGGAGCGAACCGGAUUAGAUACCCGGGUAGUCCCAGCUGUAAACGAUGCAGGCUAGGUGUUAGGGCGGCCACGUGCCGCUCUAGUGCCGCAGGGAAGCUGUUAAGCCUGCCGCCUGGGGAUUACGGCUGCAGGCUGAACUUAAAGGA